GAUUUCUGGUGUGGUGCGUCGAGCCCGCCGCCGUUAGGCGGUGAGUGCUUGUUAUGCGCCUACCAUCCUUCUGGAGAGUGCAUUCUACCCUUAACUGGGCCGGAGUGCGCGAUCUGGAUCGUUUACUUUGAAAAAAUUAGAGUGUUUAAAGCAGGCGUAUGCUAUGAAUACAUUAGCAUGGAAUAAUAAGAUAGGGCUUUGGUUCUAUUUUGUUGGUUUCUAGGACCGAAGUAAUGAUUGAUAGGGACAGUUGGGGGUGCUAGUAUUUAACGGCCAGAGGUGAAAUUCUUGGAUUCGUUAAAGACUAACUUAUGCGAAAGCAUU
rnacentral:rRNA from 1 species